AGUAAAGUGGCAGAAGGGUGAUGCGUACCGCUGUAAACGGUAUACUUUGAGAGUUCGAGUCUCUCCUUUACUA
rnacentral:tRNA from 1 species